UACGUAGGGUGCGAGCGUUGUCCGGAAUUAUUGGGCGUAAAGGGCUCGUAGGCGGUCUGUUGCGUCAGGAGUGAAAACUCGGGGCUUAACCCCGAGCCUGCUUCUGAUACGGGCAGACUAGAGGUAUGCAGGGGAGAACGGAAUUCCUGGUGUAGCGGUGAAAUGCGCAGAUAUGACAUAGAACACCAAUUGCGUAGGCAGCUUACUACACGAUCAUUGACGCUGAGGCACGAAAGCGUGGGGAGCAAACAGG
rnacentral:rRNA from 1 species